GCGGAAACGUGCACCUGAGCGGAAACGCGCGUGAGAAAAAAGGAGCAAACGCCUGAGCGGACACGCCCACACGUGUAGGUAAAAAGUGAGAAUUUUCCGAAAAUUUGGCUAUGACUUCGCGUCUUUGGAUUUUUCACAACGGAACAGAACAUCUACGAUCUUCUAAGCAUUGAGAGCACGGCCUUUUCAAUAGAACAAGGCCAGCCUAUCUGACGCAAUUGUCUGUGAAAACGUAUCAAACAAACGCGACCCUUCCAGGACAGUUGUAUUGAGAUUAUUUGCCGGCGAUGAGUCUUCUACAACGCACGUGCUAGGCCUAAGAACGGGGGAACAUCCGGGGUCAAACAAUCGCGGCCCUUCCAGGACAGUUGUAUUGAGAUUAUUUCCCGCGACGAGCCUUCUACAACGCACGUGCUAGGCCUAAGAACGGGGAACAUCCGGGUCUAUCCAAAAGUCGAUAGCUGUAGUAACCCCACAGCUCAGACCAGUUUUACAAACUACGGGUAAGUUACACCAUGAAAAUAUGUAUGUUGUAAAUCUUUCAUUAACCUUAUAUGAUAUUUUAAGUAUUUAAUUAUCCAUUAUUUUGUAUGUGUGACAUGUUCAGAAGACACCGGAACAACGUAUGACUCCGAUAGUUCAGAUUUUUUUUUGGGUAAGG